rnacentral:rRNA from 1 species
UACAGAGGUCUCGAGCGUUAGGCGGAAUCACUGGGCUUAAAGCGUGUGUAGGUGGAUCGUUAAGUACCUUGUGAAAUCCCACGGCUUAACCGUGGAACUGCUUGGUAUACUGGCGGUCUUGAGCCAGCUAGGGGCUACCGGAACAAAUGGUGGAGCGGUGAAAUGCGCAGAUAUCAGGAGGAACACCGGUGGCGAAGGCGGUUCUCUGGGCCUUACCUGACACUGAGGAGCGAAAGCGUGGGGAGCGAACAGG